CCUACGGGGGACAGCAGUGGGGAAUAUUGCACAAUGGGGGAAACCCUGAUGCAGCGACGCCGCGUGAGUGAAGAAGUAAUUCGUUACGUAAAGCUCUAUCAGCAGGGAAGAAACACUGACCUUACGGUCAGCAGACGGUACCUGAGUAAGAAGCCCCGGCUAACUACGUGCCAGCAGCCGCGGUAAUACGUAGGGGGCAAGCGUUAACCGGAUUUACUGGGUGUAAAGGGAGCGUAGACGGUGUGCCAAGUCUGGAGUGAAAUGCCGCAGCUGAACUGCGGAACUGCUUUGGAAACUGGCGAACUAGAGUGCGGGAGGGGUAAGCGGAAUUCCUAGUGUAGCGGUGAAAUGCGUAGAUAUUAGGAGGAACACCGGUGGCGAAGGCGGCUUACUGGACCGUAACUGACGUUGAGGCUCGAAAGCGUGGGGAGCAAACAGGAUUAGAUACCCCUGUAGUC
rnacentral:rRNA from 1 species